ACAUGAAACGUCAACUUUUUGCUGUGACAGUGGAUCAAUCAAGCUUGCAAAAAUUGUAGUUCCAACUCAGCUCUACGACUUAUUUUUCUCACAAUCAGAAAUAGCACAAAAAUUUUGCAAACACAUUAGAGGAUAUAACAACAUAUUUGCAUUUACAUCUUUUGGUGUUCAACUCGACAAUGAUCUGGCAUCCUCACGACAAGGAUUUUAUACGUUUAGAGCACAGGGUCAAAUAUAUCAUGAUCUUCCUUCUUUAAUCCCACAUGAUGGUACUCCAUGUUAUUUUCAGACGUACUUUUUUGAUACAGAAAAUGAUGUAUGCAAUAGAAUUUCAAAACUCAAAGAAGCCAAUUUAUCCAAAGAGGUUGUGGCAAUAAUUAGACAGAUAAUGGAUGUCAAUCUUUACGCACAAUUUUUUCGCCAGCUAAAGGAUCAUUCAAGCUUUCAGAAUUUAGAAAUUUGAAUUGCUUCAAAUUCUAAACUAGAUCGUGUCUACGACAAAUCAUCAGUAGAUCAAGUUACAACUAUUUGGAUAGACGGAAACAAUACCAAUGUACCAUUUAAUAGAGAGAUAAUCGUUCAUGAGCACUCAGGCAAUAUCCAUAGAGUUAAACAUUAUUACGGUUGUUAUGACCUACUCCAGUAUCUUCUACUUUUCCCAAAUGGUGAAUCGGGUUGGCAUCAAGGAAUAAAAAAACAAUGUAGGACCAAAAAAGGUUCACAUGAGACCGAAGUUACAUGCCUCAAUCAAAAUAUUUCGACAUUUUCAUCCGCUAAUGAGGUGUUUGACAAUGAACAACAAGGUGUACGACGAGGAGGUAAACAAUGUGUCUCAUGUAGAGAGUACUACUGCUACAAGCUGCAAAUACAUGAUGGACAAGACACGAAAUUCUAUUAUGCGGGCGAUUGUUUCAACAAUUUUUCAUUGACUUGUACAUCAAGUUGGAAACAACACGACUUGAAUAUAUUAGACAGGAGCAAUCAAAUCUUAGAAGGAAAAUAUUGCAAGGUAUAUAUGGCAGCAUCCUAGCGGGAGAAAUUAGAGGAGCUAAAGUAGGUCAGAGAGUAAUACUUCCUGUAUCAUUCAUUGGAGGUCUUAGGGACAUGCAUCAUAGAUAUAUGGAUGCAAUGUCUUUGGUUCAACAUUUUGGACAGACAGAUCUAUUUAUCACAGUGACAUGUAAUCCUGAUUGGGUAGAGAUCAAAGAAAAUUUGUUAUGAGGACAACUUCCUCAAGAUAGACCUGACUUGGUGACUAAAGUCUUUAGAGCAAAGCUACAAGAUUUAAAAGAUCAGAUAUUCAAGAAAAGGAUAUUUGGUCCUGUUGCAGCACAUGUUUUUGUGGUUGAAUUUCAAAAAAGAGGACUACCAUACAUACACCUUUUAUUAAUACUUGAACAAGGAUACAAAAUGACAUCACCCGACGAUUAUGACAAGUUUAUUGCAGCUAAACUUCCUGAUAAAGAAGAAUUUCUAAUCUUGUAUGAUUUGGUUGUCAAGCAUAUGAUGCAUGGUCCGUGUGGAAAGAAUCGUCCAAUAAAUUCAUGUAUGAAAGAUGGACAAUGCAAGAAUCACUAUCCUCGGCCAUUUAGUAAUAAAUCAAUACAAGGAAAGGACGGAUAACCUAUUUAUAAAAGGUGAAAUGAUGGAAAAAGAGAAAAGGUCUGAGGCAUGACAAUGAACAAUCAGUGGGUCGUUCCAUAUAAUCCUUAUUUUCUGACUAGAUAUAAUUGCCACAUCAACGUCGAGUCUUGUUCGGGGGUAAAAGCAAUAAAGUAUCUCUACAAGUACAUAUAUAAAGGUCAUGAUAGGUGUGCUGUUUAUAUCGAGACGAAUGAUGGAGAAAAAGUCAUCGAUGAAAUUCAUAGCUUUCAAGAUGCACGGUGGGUGACUGCACCAGAAGCACUGUGGAGAAUUUAUGAAUUCAAUCUUAGUGAAAUGCAGCCUCCCGUCAUUAACCUUCAACUUCAUCUCCCAAAUAAACAAUCAGUGUGAUAUUGGAGCAAUCAAAAUUUGAAAAAUUUUGUUGCAUGGGAAUACGCCUCACAAACCAUGCUCACAGAAUAUUUUUGAAGAUGUUCGGCAGAUAGUGAAGCGCGAAAAUAUCUAUGAGUACUAUGUUUGGAACCCUCAGGGUAAGAUAUGGACACCCAGAAAAUCAAGAUCUGUUAUUGGUCGAAUUGUUUUUGCUAAUCCAACAAAAGGCGAAAGAUAAUAUUUGAGAUUUUUAUUGAAUCAUGUAUCAGGGCCAACAUCAUUUGAAAACUUGUUAUCUGUUAAUGGAAGGAGAUGUGAAACAUUCAAGGAAGCUGCAAAAGAAAGAGGUUUACUAGAAUCAGAUAAUAGCAUUUCUGAAUGCUUACAUGAGGCCGUAGUCUUCAAAAUGCCAUCGGCUUUGAGAAAUUUAUUUGCAACAAUUUUGGUUCAUUGUAAUCCAAAAAAUGUUAGAAUGCUCUGGGAUACAUAUUAUGAUGACAUGUCGGAAGAUUUUAAGAGAAUACAUGAAAAUUCUCCUACGGCUCAACUUCAAUGCACAUUGAAAAGCAUAAAUCAUUUCUUAGAGAGCAUGGGUAAGAGAAUUGAAAAUUAUGACAUUCCUAAAAUUAAACAGAGGUUGGAAGAUGGAAUUAUAUUAGAAUGCAGAGAAAUACAAGAAGAGAAAUCUAUAGUAGUGUCUCUAGAAGACUUGGAUGCACAGAUAAAGCUAAAUCCUGAACAAGAACAAGCUUUUAGGAUCAUAUUGGAAAGGAUUGAGUCUGGACAAUCAGGAUUAUUCUUUGUCGAUGGACCUGGAGGGACUAGAAAAACAUUCUUAUAUCAUGCAUUACUUGCAAAUAUCAGAUCAAGAGGCAUGAUAGCAUUAGCAACGACAACAAGUGGUGUAGCAGCAGCUCUUUUAUCGGGAGGUCGUACGGCUUAUUCUAGAUUUGAGAUACCGCUUCAGACAACUGAUGCAACUGUCACACGUAUGUCAAAGCAAAGCGGUGGAGCUAAAUUGAUUCAAAAAUCCAAGCUAAUUAUUUGGGACAAAGCGCCUAUGGCUAGCUGUCGGACAAUUAAAACAGUUGAUAGGAGCUUCAGAGAUAUACUGGACAUUAAUGAACCGUUUGGUGGAAAAAUAAUGGUUUUCGGAGGUGAUUUCCGACAAGUACUACCAGUCAUUCCAAAAUCUACAAGAGCUGAAACAGGUAAUGCAAGUUUGGUAAAAUCAUACUUAUGGCAUCGCAUGGAAAGGAUUAAGGUAACAAGAAAUAUAAGAGCAAGAACAGAUCAUCUUUCAGUGAAUUCUUACUGCGUAUAGGUAAUGGGGAGGAGCCUACAAUAAGAGAUGAUUUGGUACAUCUUCCAAAAGAACUGGUUAUUCAAAAUACGAGUAGUUCUACUGAUGAAGAUACAUUAGUAAAAGAAAUAUUUACAUCGAUGGAUAAAAAUGAAAGUUGUACAAAAUACAUGACAGAACGGGCUAUCCUAGCAAGCAGAAAUGAAUACGUUGAUCAACUAAAUGAAAUGUUAAUUUUCAGAUUUCCAGGUGAAAGCAGAAUGUUUCUGAGUUUUGACUCUGCAGAAGAUGAUACUAACAAUUAUUAUCAGGAAGACUACUUAAAUACUCUCACACCAAACGGUCUACCUCUACACAGAUUGGUUUUGAAAAAAAAUGCCCCUAUUAUGUUAUUAAGAAAUUUGGAUGCUUUCAAUGGCUUAUGUAAUGGCACAAGAAUGAUAUGUAGAGGCUUUGACAAAAAUGUCAUACAUGCAGAAAUAAUGAUUGGGAAAAAUGCUUUCAAGCAUGUUUUUAUCCCACGAAUCCAGCUAUCACCUCCCGAAAAUGAAGGUUACCCGUUCAAGUUCAUUAGAAAGCAAUUUUCAGUAAGACUAUGCUGUUCAAUGACGAUAAAUAAAUCACAAGGACAGACGAUACCAACUGUUGGAUCGUACUUGCCACAACACCUUUUUUCACAUGGACAGCUAUACGUUGCACUCUCAAGAGGAAUAUCAAUGUCAACGACAAAGGUUUUGGUCAUGACAGAGCAGCCAAAGCAAAGAAAAGGAACAUACACCAAAGAUAUUGUCUACAAAGAGAUAUUAGGUUCAGGAGAUAUACAAUUACAUUAGAUUGAGCUAUUGUGACAAAGUAAUGAUGGAUAAUUUUUUUCUAGCUAUCUAAGUUCUACGUCUCAUACCACUGAGAUGACUCUUUUUAAUUGCUAUGCCAACUCAAAAGCUAUUUUGUUUUUGUUU